rnacentral:rRNA from 1 species
UACGGGAGGCAGCAGUGGGGAAUAUUGCACAAUGGGCGCAAGCCUGAUGCAGCCAUGCCGCGUGUAUGAAGAAGGCCUUCGGGUUGUAAAGUACUUUCAGUCGUGAGGAAGGUGUUAAGGUUAAUAACCUUAGCAAUUGACGUUAGCGACAGAAGAAGCACCGGCUAACUCCGUGCCAGCAGCCGCGGUAAUACGGAGGGUGCGAGCGUUAAUCGGAAUUACUGGGCGUAAAGGGCACGCAGGCGGUUAAUUAAGUUGGAUGUGAAAUCCCCGGGCUUAACCUGGGAAUGGCAUUCAAGACUGGUUAGCUAGAGUCUUGUAGAGGGGGUAGAAUUCCAUGUGUAACGGUGAAAUGCGUAGAGAUGUGGAGGAAUACCGGUGGCGAAGGCGGCCCCUGGACAAAGACUGACGCUCAUGUGCGAAAGCGUGGGGAGCAAACAGGGAUUAGAUACC